GAUCCUGGCUCAGGAUGAACGCUGGCGGCGUGCUUAACACAUGCAAGUCGAACGGAAAGGCCCAAGCUUGCUUGGGUACUCGAGUGGCGAACGGGUGAGUAACACGUGGGUGAUCUGCCCUGCACUUCGGGAUAAGCCUGGGAAACUGGGUCUAAUACCGGAUAGGACCACUUCUUGGAUGUUGUGGUGGAAAGUUUUUUCGGUGUGGGAUGAGCUCGCGGCCUAUCAGCUUGUUGGUGGGGUAAUGGCCU
rnacentral:rRNA from 1 species